UACGUAGGUCCCGAGCGUUGUUCGGAUUUAUUGGGCGUAAAGCGAGCGCAGGUGGUUUAUUAAGUCUGGUGUAAAAGGCAGUGGCUCAACCAUUGUAUGCAUUGGAAACUGGUAGACUUGAGUGCAGGAGAGGAGAGUGGAAUUCCAUGUGUAGCGGUGAAAUGCGUAGAUAUAUGGAGGAACACCGGUGGCGAAAGCGGCUCUCUGGCCUGUAACUGACACUGAGGCUCGAGAGCGUGGGGAGCAAACAGG
rnacentral:rRNA from 1 species